GUGCUUGCUUCGGCAGCACAUGUACUAAAAUUGGAACGAUACAGAGAAGAUUAGCAUGGCCCCUGCGCAAAAAAUCUUUUGAAUAAGUGUUAUUAAAAUAAUAAUAUU